GACGAACGCUGGCGGCGUGCUUAACACAUGCAAGUCGAACGGAAAGGCCCUGCUUUUGUGGGGUGCUCGAGUGGCGAACGGGUGAGUAACACGUGAGUAACCUGCCCUUGACUUUGGGAUAACUUCAGGAAACUGGGGCUAAUACCGGAUAGGAGCUCCUGCUGCAUGGUGGGGGUUGGAAAGUUUCGGCGGUUGGGGAUGGACUCGCGGCUUAUCAGCUUGUUGGUGGGGUAGUGGCUUACCAAGGCUUUGACGGGUAGCCGGCCUGAGAGGGUGACCGGCCACAUUGGGACUGAGAUACGGCCCAGACUCCUACGGGAGGCAGCAGUGGGGAAUAUUGCACAAUGGGCGGAAGCCUGAUGCAGCAACGCCGCGUGCGGGAUGACGGCCUUCGGGUUGUAAACCGCUUUCGCCUGUGACGAAGCGUGAGUGACGGUAAUGGGUAAAGAAGCACCGGCUAACUACGUGCCAGCAGCCGCGGUGAUACGUAGGGUGCGAGCAUUGUCCGGAUUUAUUGGGCGUAAAGGGCUCGUAGGUGGUUGAUCGCGUCGGAGGUGUAAUCUUGGGGCUUAACCCUGAGCGUGCUUUCGAUACGGGUUGACUUGAGGAAGGUAGGGGAGAAUGGAACUCCUGGUGGAGCGGUGGAAUGCGCAGAUAUCAGGAGGAACACCAGUGGCGAAGGCGGUUCUCUGGGCCUUUCCUGACGCUGAGGAGCGAAAGCGUGGGGAGCGAACAGGCUUAGAUACCCUGGUAGUCCACGCUGUAAACGGUGGGUACUAGGUGUGGGGUCCAUUCCACGGGUUCCGUGCCGUAGCUAACGCUUUAAGUACCCCGCCUGGGGAGUACGGCCGCAAGGCUAAAACUCAAAGGAAUUGACGGGGCCCCGCACAAGCGGCGGAGCAUGCGGAUUAAUUCGAUGCAACGCGUAGAACCUUACCCGGGUUUGACAUGGAUCGGGAGUGCUCAGAGAUGGGUGUGCCUCUUUUGGGGUCGGUUCACAGGUGGUGCAUGGCUGUCGUCAGCUCGUGUCGUGAGAUGUUGGGUUAAGUCCCGCAACGAGCGCAACCCUUGUUCACUGUUGCCAGCACGUUAUGGUGGGGACUCAGUGGAGACCGCCGGGGUCAACUCGGAGGAAGGUGGGGAUGACGUCAAGUCAUCAUGCCCCUUAUGUCCAGGGCUUCACGCAUGCUACAAUGGCUGGUACAGAGAGUGGCGAGCCUGUGAGGGUGAGCGAAUCUCGGAAAGCCGGUCUCAGUUCGGAUUGGGGUCUGCAACUCGACCUCAUGAAGUCGGAGUCGCUAGUAAUCGCAGAUCAGCAACGCUGCGGUGAAUACGUUCCCGGG
rnacentral:rRNA from 1 species